rnacentral:rRNA from 1 species
AUUGAACGCUGGCGGCAGGCUUAACACAUGCAAGUCGAGCGGAGAUGAGGUGCUUGCACCUUAUCUUAGCGGCGGACGGGUGAGUAAUGCUUAGGAAUCUGCCUAUUAGUGGGGGACAACAUUCCGAAAGGAAUGCUAAUACCGCAUACGCCCUACGGGGGAAAGCAGGGGAUCUUCGGACCUGGCGCUAAUAGAUGAGCCUAAGUCGGAUUAGCUAGUUGGAGGGGUAAAGGCCUACCAAGGCGACGAUCUGUAGCGGGUCUGAGAGGAUGAUCCGCCACACUGGGACUGAGACACGGCCCAGACUCCUACGGGAGGCAGCAGUGGGGAAUAUUGGACAAUGGGCGGAAGCCUGAUCCAGCCAUGCCGCGUGUGUGAAGAAGGCCUUUUGGUUGUAAAGCACUUUAAGCGAGGAGGAGGCUACCUGGAUUAAUACUCUAGGAUAGUGGACGUUACUCGCAGAAUAAGCACCGGCUAACUCUGUGCCAGCCGCCGCGGUAACAC